GACGAACCGUGCGAACGUUAUUCGGAAUCACUGGGCUUAAAGCGCGUGUAGGCGGGUCGGAACGUCGGCCGCUGAAAUCCCUCGGCUUAACCGGGGAACUGCGUCUGAUACUGGUUGGCUUGAGUUUGGGAGAGGGACGCGGAAUUCCAGGUGUAGCGGUGAAAUGCGUAGAUAUCUGGAGGAACACCGGUGGCGAAGGCGGCGUCCUGGACCAACACUGACACUGAUGAGCGAAAGCCAGGGGAGCAAACGGG
rnacentral:rRNA from 1 species